CUACGUGCCAGCAGCCGCGGUAAUACGUAUGUCGCGAGCGUUAUCCGGAAUUAUUGGGCAUAAAGGGCAUCUAGGCGGCCUGACAAGUCAGGGGUGAAAACCUGCGGCUCAACCGCAGGCCUGCCUUUGAAACUGUAAGGCUGGAGUACCGGAGAGGUGGACGGAACUGCACGAGUAGAGGUGAAAUUCGUAGAUAUGUGCAGGAAUGCCGAUGAUGAAGAUAGUUCACUGGACGGUAACUGACGCUGAAGUGCGAAAGCCGGGGGAGCAAACAGGAUUAGAUACCCUGGUAGUCCCGGCUGUAAACGAUGAUUACUGGGUGUGGGCAGGAAGACUGUCUGUGCCGAAGCAAAUGCGAUAAGUAAUCCGCCUGGGGAGUACGGCCGCAAGGCUGAAACUCAAAGGAAUUGACGGGGACCCGCACAAGCGGUGGAGCAUGUGGUUUAAUUCGACGCAACGCGAGGAACCUUACCAGAUCUUGACAUCCCG
rnacentral:rRNA from 1 species